rnacentral:rRNA from 1 species
UCUUCCUACGGGAGGCAGCAGUGGGGAAUAUUGCACAAUGGGGGAAACCCUGAUGCGGCAACGCCGCGUGAAGGAAGACGGUUUUCGGAUUGUAAACUUCUGUUCUUAGUGAAGAAUAAUGACGGUAGCUAAGGAGCAAGCCACGGCUAACUACGUGCCAGCAGCCGCGGUAAUACGUAGGUGGCAAGCGUUGUCCGGAAUUACUGGGUGUAAAGGGAGCGCAGGCGGGAAGCCAAGUCAGCUGUGAAAACUACGGGCUUGACUUGUAGACUGCAGUUGAAACUGGUUUUCUUGUG